AUCCUACUUUUAGAUACAGUUGGAGGUUCAUUAUCCAAGAUAUUGCAGUUUGGAAUUGUAACCCUGUCAUGUUGCCCUGUCACAUCUAGAAGGAACUGUUCAUUGCCAGAAAGAAAAGCGCCUUCUCCAGCACUCAUGGAUCCCAGUUAGUGGUGUUUACUGAAGUGAGAAAGGAUUUGCAGCUGUUUGGAGCCUGAGUGGCAGAUGAAACCGACUUGGAGACUUCUGGGGUACAAGUAUGAGUUACAACGCAGAGGCUGCUGCAUGAUGCCCAGAUAGCACAUAGGCCACCUCCACACUCAGAGAGCUGAGGAGAUCUCAGGACGACCAUCAGAAUUUGCCAUCAGUGGACUAAAUGACAAGCUGGUUACCUCAGUGGAAAUUCCACAAGGAGAUAAAUCCCUUCCUAUGACCUCAAUAUUUCAACGGAAUGCUUCCUGGCAUUAAAGUCUGUAAGCCCCACUGGCUGGGCCCAAAUUCAAGGAAAGCCCAAAAAGUCUGCAAACUGGAAAAAUGAAAUGGAGAAUGUAAAUAUUAUAAAGAGAUGACAUCUGAAACAGUUUCAAAAUAAGAGGGAAUGACUUCUUCAAGUUUUAAGAUGAGACACUGAGAACUGAGCUAUUCAAUGAAUUAUAUAUAAAAGCAGCCCCCAGGAACACAACCUACUCCAUGUACUGCUUAGGGAAGCCCAAUAUUUACAGAUUCAUUCAGUGGCACAGCAUACCUGUAAAGUAAGACCAUCAUUCCCAUUUUACUAAUUAGGAACAGGCUGAGGUCAGGGAAUUUACUCAAGGAGCCUUAGCAAGAGUAUCAGUGAAAAGACCUGAACUCCCAAACCUGUGCUCAACAUAACGCCACCAUCCCGUUCUAGAACUUGACUCCCUUGGCUCUCAUGCCUUUGAUCUUUAAGAUCUUCUACCUAGCCAAGCCCUAGGCUUCUUCUUUAAAUGCUCCCUCUCAAAACAGAACUCUCUCAUGUGUCAAAGUUUCAACUACAAAAACAAUCACAGAUGACUCAACUCUCACUUUCUGGAACUCCUCUCUCUCAAUCCAAAGACCAACGUCGGAAGCUAAAUGCAGUAACACAUUAUCUUCCCAUAGAAUGUCAGAAGGAUCUUAAAAUACAAGACGAGCCACUUUCCUAUUAAAUUUUUCUUAUCACUUGAAACAUCAGCAAGUGUUCUGGAUGCGAUCACGGAUUCUAUCUCCAAUGUGACAUCAAGUGGUGAAGAGACCAAUGGAAACUGCCUGCCUACAUGAGAACACAAUAUUGUCUAGGAAAUGCACGCACCAGGAAGAACAGAGGUCUGGAGGGAAUGGAAAGGAAGAUUCCAGAAUCCUACAAAAUAUCAUUUUUCCACACCAGUGACAGCAAUGGGAACAGAAGACUCAUGAAGUACCCUGAAGACC